GGGCUACACACGUGCUACAAUGGUCGGUACAACGAGAAGCAAGUCAGCGAUGGCAAGGCAAAUCUCCUAAAAGCCGAUCCCAGUUCGGAUUGCAGGCUGCAACUCGCCUGCAUGAAGUCGGAGUUGCUAGUAAUCGCGGAUCAGAAUGCCGCGGUGAAUGCGUUCCCGGGUCUU
rnacentral:rRNA from 1 species